AGGGGGCAACUCCUCCAGUCGAGCGGCGGACGGGUGAGUAACACGUGGGCAAUCUGCCCGAAAGUGGGGAAUACCCCAGGGAAACUCGGGCUAAUACCGCAUGUCAUCGCGACCUCGAGAGAGGAUGCGAUCAAAGGGGGGUCGCAAGACCUCCCGCUUUCGGAGGAGCCCGCGCCCGAUUAGCUAGUUGGUGAGGUAACGGCUCACCAAGGCUUCGAUCGGUAGCCGGCCUGAGAGGGUGAUCGGCCACACCGGAACUGAGACACGGUCCGGACUCCUACGGGAGGCAGCAGUGGGGAAUCUUGCGCAAUGGGCGAAAGCCUGACGCAGCAACGCCGCGUGAAGGAUGAAGGUCCUUGGAUUGUAAACUUCUGUCGGCCGGGAAGAAAUUCAUCGGGGUCAAUACCCCCGGUGAUUGACUGUACCGGCAAAGGAAGCCCCGGCUAACUCUGUGCCAGCAGCCGCGGUAAUACAGAGGGGGCAAGCGUUAUUCGGAAUUAUUGGGCGUAAAGGGCGCGUAGGCGGUCCUUCAAGUCUCUCGUGAAAUCCCUCGGCUUAACUGAGGACGUGCGGGAGAUACUGCUGGGCUUGAGUCCGGAAGAGGGUGGUGGAAUUCCCAGUGUAGCGGUGAAAUGCGUAGAUAUUGGGAGGAACACCGGUGGCGAAGGCGGCCACCUGGGCCGGAACUGACGCUGAGGCGCGAAAGCGUGGGGAGCAAACGGGAUUAGAUACCCCGGUAGUCCACGCCGUAAACGAUGGGCACUUGGUGUCGCGGGUAUCGACCCCUGCGGUGCCGAAGCUAACGCAUUAAGUGCCCCGCCUGGGGAGUACGGUCGCAAGGCUG
rnacentral:rRNA from 1 species